rnacentral:sRNA from 1 species
AAUCAAACAGUAAAAUUAUAUACCCCUUUAAGGUUCUCAGUACCAUCCUUUUGAAUGGCCAAAAUUCACUUUCAUAAUUUUAUUUGGUGCAAUUUUAGGCUAUAUAUAAAAAAAGAAGUUUUUAUCUGUUAGAAAUUAUGAUGCAGACUUGCAUGUGCACGUACAUGUAUGAUAGAAAAUAGAUAGUUUAUCAAAUUUUAUCAUUUCUCAUUCUUCCAUUGCUUUAUUCAUCAUUAUAGCAGUACUGUUAUACUUGGAGUAAAUACAUGUAAUAAACCAUGCAAGGCCAAAGGCUGCCCUGCUGAAGUGUUUGUGCAGGAUGUUCCCUUAUUUUUUAGGGAUUUUUUUUCCAAUGGAAGGUUCAUUACUUCCAAAAUCUUUAGACAAUAAAUCCGUCCAGUACAGAGUUUGCAUGCUAGACAGUGUUUCAUUUAGGUUGAAUAUAGCAGGAUUACUGCAUUGAUCAGAUUAUUGAUUCUGGGUAAUUGGGCAAUUGGUCUUUAUUUGAAAUCACUAUAAUAGCUAGUCUACAAAAUGUAUAGAUAAGAUAGAUUGAAUAAAUGAUAUUCAGAUCGAGGCUUAUCUCCUCUGUGUGUGUGUGAGAGAGAGAGAGAGAGAGAGAGAGUAUUUUUGUCAGAGAGAAAUUUCAUGAAAGCUGCUUUUAUUUAUGACACAUGUAAUAUUGGUAGAUGGAGAAGUGUACAUGCAGACAAUCCAUUUAUUUUGAAAGAUUAAAAAACUAUAAACAUUUACAUGUAUAUAUUAAAAUAUAGUAUUUUUGUAUAUGUUUAAUAUAUUUAAUACAUAGUUAACUUAUUUUCUUACUUUUUAAAUUUGUUUUUUAAGCAUUCCCUCCAUUUUAUUAAGUGUAAAUAUCUGAUACAUGUACGAUUGAGUUUUGUUUUGUGAUAUUUGGUUUGCUCAAGUUAUAUUAUAUCAAAUACCUAGUACAAUGUAUGUUCAUUAUCAUUAAUGAUAUUAAAAGUGUUUUCAAGA